rnacentral:miRNA from 10 species
GGUGUUUGGCCAUCUGGUGCAUG